UCCGAAUUGGUGUAGUGGCUAACAUUUGGUGCUCUCACUUGGUUGGUUACAUAUAUCAACCUUCUACGUGAUCCGCCAAGCCCGGGGUUCGAUUCCCCGAUUCGGAG